GGAGUCUCCAAACCUUGGAAAUAAUCAUUUAAUAAUUUAAUGCACUUGAUGUAUUGAGGGUUUGUUUUGUUUUGUUUUUAAAAUGGGAUCUUGCUAUAUUGUCUAGGCUAGUGUCCCUGGGUUCAAGCAAUCCUCCUGCUUCACCUUCCCAAAGAGUUGGGACUAUAGGCAUGUGUGCUAUCACACCCAGCAUAUAUUAAGGCUUUUAAAAACUGAUUAUAGUCAAGCCUGGUGGUGCUUGCCUGAAAUUCAAAUGACUUGGAAGGUAAAGAAAUAAGAAGAUCGAAAGUUAGAAGCCACCUUGGCAACUGGUUGAGACCCUGUCCCCCCCAAAAUAAAAAGUAUUGGGAAUGUACUCAGUGGUAAAGCAACCCUGAGUUCCACCCCAGUACCAAAAAAUAAAAGCUGAUUAUACAUCUACUUCCUUAAAAAGCAAAUAGAAUGGCAAAUAGAACAAAUUUAAAACAGGGUAAAAUUGCUUAAGCAGAGUAAUUAUAACUAUAUAAAUUGAGAAGCCUGGGGAGUUUUGUGGUUAGUAGCUUUUAGUUAAUAACUAGUUCUUACUUUUUUUAAUCAAGUUACGAGGAGACAAUGAUUAUAAUUUUAGAUUCAUGUACCAUUUAAGAGGUUUUUACAUAUUUUUUACUUGUAUAAAGAUGAAAGGGGUUUUUUAAAUUUAGUAGAUGAGAAUAUCUUAUUAAUGGAGAUGACUUCAAAUAAAAGAUGAUGCAGUAUCUUUUUCUUAUGUAGCAAUAUAGUCAGAAAUUAUUAAAAUACUGAGGCAUCCUCAUAGAGAAAUCUGGAAUUUAAGUUCUCCCUAGUAAAUGUAAAUCUUGCCGAAUUGUUUUAAUGUAAGAAAGAGAAUGUGAAUUGAUUUGUAGAUGUUUUUUUCCUGCUAAUACCUGCCCAGAUGGUUCUAUUUCAUUCUACACCCCACCCCCACUAUCAAAACACACGGGAUUGGGGGAAAUUAGUGUUUGAUCCAUUGAGACUUGCAGACAAGACGAGGUUGAUUAUAGAUAAAAAUAAAUUUUUAAGGAAGGCAUUACAUAGAGAAUAUGCCAUCUCAAAAUUUGCCUUUUGGGGCUGGGCCUCAGUGGUAGAGCGCUCACCUAGGAUAUGCAA
rnacentral:lncRNA from 1 species